CAAAAAAAAAAGAGAAGUGGUGUGACCAAAAGAUUCAGGAAAAUAUAUAAAUCGUUGGCGUUGAAAUAUUUUACUCUCAUCUAUAACUAUACUAAAACAGGAGGUUGGAGAUGUAUUUGGAGCCACCCGAGCCCUCUUGAGACUACAUUCCCGCCCUUCCCUCUGUUUUUUAUUUCCUCCGUUUCUAUUUACAACAAAAAUUAAAAAUAGAACUGCAUCCCCUUUGCAGCCCUUCUCUGACCUAAUAGAAAAAAAAAACGAAUUAGAAAAAAAAAUCCCUCAAUCUUUCUUCCUCGACCUCUUUUCACAAUUCAACCUAAUUGAAAUCCUCUUCGCAAUAUUCAGCCAUAUAUUAUUCUUUGUUCUCCAUCCAAUUUUGUUUAUGUUUGAUUAUAUGCAUACAAUAAAGUAUAAAGUAUAAACUAUUGUUGAUGGAGAUGAUGCCGCGAGAUGUUGUUGAAGGAAAUACUUAGGUGAACAAUAUUUGGUUGAAUUCACUUGCUAUAUGGAUGAAUUUUAUGCUAAAGGGUUGAAUGCCCACAAAGUGUUUGCUAUAAUGCCUGAACGAGUGUCGAUGAGUUCAUUGGCAGUAAGCUGCUAACGCCAUGAAGAGAGCUGGUGUUCUAAUCAACCAGAUGGAUGUUGCCAGAGUUGCUUCUUAUUUGAAAUUGCAUGACGCCUUGAAGAGAAUGGAAUCCGUUCAAAAAAUGGUCCCACUGAUGGCGCCAAUGUUUGAACCUACAUUGACUGGCUUAGUGAAGAUACGGAUUUGACUGCGACAACCAUCACAUCUCUUGAAUAUACAGUGCAAACCUAACAAGUUCUUAGCGAACCUAAGGUGGCGAUGGUUAUCGUAAGAUAGGAAAAUAGCGUUUCCCGGUAUCUUUGAAGGAUAUAACGAUUAUGAUUCGAUUUAUCAAAUCGAACAUAUUAUAUGAGAGUGAAUACAAAUCACUCAUGUUGUUUGUUAUGAGAAGUGAAAGAUAAUUCACUUUGUUGUUCUAUAUAUGUAUGAUAUAGAAACAGAUUCAUUUUUAGUGAUUCACUUAUUAUACUCAUAAUAUGUAUCAAAGAAAACAAAUGUAUAUUAUUAUGUAUCAUC